CGUGAUGCUCCCUGAAACGGAAGUGACGUCGACAGAGGAGGUGGAGCCGGGCUGCGAAGGAGCGUUGGGCGCUGGGGCUCUGCCUGGCUCGCGCGGGGCCGUUGGAGCCUCUCCCGGGCCGGAGAAGGGUGUGUGACUGAGAUUGGGGCUCUUAUCAUACUGAGUGUGGCCCUGUUCUGCCAGAUGCUGCAGAGACCCCAACUGAGAUCUGGGCCCUGUUCUGCCAGGCACCAAAGAGACCCCAGAUCCAGCUGUGAUGAUGGGGAAGGUUCCCUCCUUCUCCCCCGGCUCCACAGUGAGCUCCGCUCUGCCCGGCUACGUCGCUCUCUGCCUCGCUCUACAGGUGCGGAGGCUGGUGUCAGCACAGUUCACAGGGACUGGACCUGAUCGUCCAAUCACAGCAUCUGUCGGUGGGAGGCCGUCCUGCCCUGCCACCUCUCCCCCAGGAUGAGUGCUCAGAGCAUGGAGGUGAGAUGGAUCCGAUCCCAGCACUCUGCAAUUGUGCACCUGUACCAAGAUGGGCAGGAUCAGUAUGAAAAUCAGAUGUUGGACUAUCAAGGAAGGACAGAGCUGCUGAAAGAUGACAUCACCAAUGGAAGUGUUUCCCCGAGAAUACGUGAUAUCUGACCUUCUGACGAGGGCCAGUACGCUUGUUUAUUUCAAUCACUUACCUUUUUUCAAGGCGCCUCAGUGCUCCUGCAGGUGGAAGGUUAGUAACUUGUUUCACUGCUGUUUUUACUUCAGAAAGGAUAAUAAAUA